rnacentral:rRNA from 1 species
AUUGAACGCUGGCGGCAUGCCUUACACAUGCAAGUCGAACGGCAGCACGGGUGCUUGCACCUGGUGGCGAGUGGCGAACGGGUGAGUAAUACAUCGGAACAUGUCCUGUAGUGGGGGAUAGCCCGGCGAAAGCCGGAUUAAUACCGCAUACGAUCUACGGAUGAAAGCGGGGGACCUUCGGGCCUCGCGCUUUAGGGUUGGCCGAUGGCUGAUUAGCUAGUUGGUGGGGUAAAGGCCUACCAAGGCGACGAUCAGUAGCUGGUCUGAGAGGACGACCAGCCACACGGGAACUGAGACACGGCCCAGACUCCUACGGGAGGCAGCAGUGGGGAAUUUUGGACAAUGGGCGAAAGCCUGAUCCAGCAAUGCCGCGUGUGUGAAGGAGGCCUUCGGGUUGUAAAGCACUUUUGUCCGGAAAGAAAUCCUUGGCCCUAAUACGGUCGGGGGAUGACGGUACCGGAAGAAUAAGCACCGGCUAACUACGUG